GAGGAACUGAGUUGAAAUAUUCCUCACCGUUGGCUGCAAAUGUGCUGCACAAACACCAGAGAAAUUUGUGAAUUGACCUCUUGUGUUCCCUGCAGGGAGAACGAGGGGAAAAGGGUGAGGAAGGCUUUCCUGGAAAAGCUGGCCCUAAGGGUGAACCAGGGAGCCGUGGCCAACCUGGUGAGCAGGGUGAAGCAGGUUUUCCUGGUCCUAGGGGCUUACCUGGACUGAAAGGAGAAAAAGGAGACCGGGUGAGUGACUUGGAGCCACAAAUUGUUCUUUUGACCAUUUAGCAUCA
rnacentral:lncRNA from 1 species